AUGGCUACUUCACCUAUAUGUGCGUUGUGCGGAGAAGCGGACAGCUCGAGACACAAUUUACUUGAGUGUAGCAUGUCGAGAAGUGUUUGGGCCCUCUCAGAUGAGCAAAUGGUCGAACGUAUGUGCCAAAACACCGAGCCCAAUGCAAAGGAGUGGCUAUUUGCCGGAAAUGACACACUAUUGCAGGAGGAGUUUACACGGUUGGUCUUCACAUUAUGGGAAAUAUUAAGCUCCCGAACGAAGGCAAUUCAUGAGGACAUAUUUCAAAGCCCGUCAACUACCCAUGGACCUUUAUGCUCAUUAUAUCUUCGUCGUUUUGGACCGCAAGUUGAUUGUGGAAAAAUCAAGAGCAGGAGUUUGAUCAUAGCUACAUUUGGAAAGUUAUAUUACAUUGCGAUGCCGGCGUACCCUAAUCUAGGCAAAAUUGGAGCUCACCAGAACUCUCCGGGUGCGGCGGCGACCCUGCGGCAGCGACGGCGCUCACUCGUCAUCGGAGGAGGAGACAAGGUCAAUGUACUUCUUGUCUUGCUCCUCCUGCUAACGGCGCCAUGCAACUUGCUUCUCGUCAAACUCGCGAGCGGUGGCGAGCGCCUGCUCGAAGAGGAGGUCGCUGAGCUCCUCGUCCUACCGGCGAUGCACCUCCUCCUCCUCCCGCUCGUGCGCAAUGUGCUCGGCGAGCGCCGCCUCGAAGGCGUCCACGUUGGGCCCAAUGAGGUAGUCCUCCGGGCCGAUGAUGCCGCGGUCGCACGGGCGCUCCUCCCCCGGUUCGAUCUUGAUGGCGCGGAGCUCGCCAGACUCCCUCUCCCUCUUUACCAGGAGCAACUCCGUGCCGGAAGAGCUCCCGUGCCAGAUGAGCUCCCCGCGCCGGAGCGCCGCACAUGCCGGAGGUCACUCCUCCGACUCGUGGUGGAGGAGGGACAACAGCACCGGGAGAUCGUACUUGGUGUAGCGCUUGGGCGCGCGCUUGCGUGCCGCGUCGGAGGUGAUGCAACGCUUGCGCUCCUAGUCUUCGUCGUCACGGCGCCGACCAGAGCUCCACAUCGUCGCAGAUCGGUGGGCGGGGGCGGUGGAUUUCUCACCGGCGACGAUAAAUUGGAGAGGGGAAUGGGAAAUCACGGCGGCGAGGGGAUAGGGACUAGGGUUUCUCUCCCUGUCGAUUCACACCCGCAUUCGCGUCGCUCUCCUCACUCCUCUCCUCUCUCCUGCGGACGGAUCUCGUCGCCCCGUCGCCUCGCAAGCACGUCGCCGGCGCGCAUCCUCACCGCGCAGAGGUUGAACUCUCCUCCUCCCAUCCCUCUUCCAUCUGUCCCCCGCCCCUCUCGGAUCCCUCUCAUCUCUCUGUGCCCCUUGCGCUGCUGCUUCUGCCGAUGCGGAUGUGAGCAGGCGGCUAGGCUAGGUGCUGCCGUUCCCUUCGUGCGUUUUGGUCGGAGCCGAGCUCCGGCCGCCGUGGCCAUGGGAGAUGCUCCCCUCGCUCCUGUACAGGCGCGAGCACCCACACGCACCCAUGCGCGAGCACGUGCGUUCACCCCUGCCCCGCACGCACACGCAUGCCCACAGCCGCCAUCCACAAGCUCUGUCCCGAAUCUCCUUCUCCUCCUAUGGAUCUGUGUGAUUAGCAUGCAUCUAUGUGAGCUAUUGGGCUAG
rnacentral:rRNA from 1 species